rnacentral:tRNA from 1 species
CAGAGAGUAGUUUAAGUUAAAAUGCUAGCUUUGGGGGUUAGUGAUGGAGGUUAAAUUCCUCUCUUUUUGA